UCCCGGCCCGGGGGCUUUGGCCGCAGAGCUCGCGGGUUCUGCAGUCUGGACUCGCAUGGGGAGAUCGCGAUGUUCUCCUCCCAGGCCGGCGGCCGGCCGCGAACGUGGGAGGCUAGUCCCUCAGAGCACAAGAAGUGGGUGGAAGUAUUUAGAGCAUGCGAUGAAGAUAACAAAGGCUAUCUAAGCAGAGAGGACUUUAAAGUUGCUGUUGUAAUGCUGUUUGGUUACAAGCCAUCCAAGAUAGAAGCUGAUUCUGUGAUGUCUUCAGUAGAUCCAAACACUUCUGGGAUACAACUUAAGGAGUUUUUAGACAUCGUAAGGAAAAAGAAGGAAGCUCAACUGUAUCGCAAUGAAGUAAGACACAUCUUCACAGCUUUUGACAGGCACUAUCGUGGAUAUUUAACUCUGGAAGAUUUCAAGAAAGCAUUUAAGCAGGUGGCUCCCAAGUUAUCAGAAAGGAUUAUCCUCGAGGUAUUCAGACUAUUGAGCAAGGUAUGGAAGAGCAAAGGAGUUCAAGCCAGGCGCAGCCAAGGCGCCCCAAGACAGUGUGACGCAGGUUACUCCAGAAUAUCCCGGCCUUUCUGAUGCUGUCGUAUCUCUGUGUGCGUUCUGGGAUGAGAGGUGAGAGUCAGUGUAUUUCUGCCGCACGGUGGUGGCUUUUCACAAAAAGAAUGAAGAAUUACUUCGUUUUACUUUUACAAAAAGACAGGUGUCCACAGUUGCUGACCUUUGGGUGUUAAACGGUUUUAGGAGCUGUCCCCUCGUGUCACAAAUGUAAUUUUGAAAAAUCCGCUUAAGUACAGCCUUUCAAGGUAGAAGCCGUGUUUUAACAGUGAGUAGGAAAGUAACUGCUUCUCUAAAGAAACCUAUGCUAUAGGGAGAGCAUUUUUGAGAAUGGGUGGUUUGGAAAUGUGAUUCUGUCUUCAGAAAUAUGUGUCGCCCUCUAAAACCUUUAUAUUUGCGUGCUCAAUAAGUCAGGAACAGAAUGUUCUAAUCUGCGGAAAAAAGGAAGCGUGAUUGGACAGCACAAUUUUUUUAAAGUAUCAAUGUAAAAAUUUAAUAGCUUUGAUAAGUUAGGAGCAACUAACUAAUUGAUAUCAGGAGAGAUGAAUAUUUAUUAGCUGAGUCUCAAUUAGCUCAAAUACCAACAAAGUGGUUAAUAAAAGAAGACAAACCCCUUAAGCUUUUUUAUAA
rnacentral:lncRNA from 1 species